rnacentral:rRNA from 1 species
AACGAACGCUGGCGGCAGGCUUAACACAUGCAAGUCGAGAGCCCCGCAAGGGGAGCGGCAGACGGGUGCGUAACGCGUGGGCAUCUACCCAUCUCUACGGAAUAACGCAUGGAAACGUAUGAUAAUACCGUAUACGUCCUUUGGUACAAAGAUUUAUCGGAGAUGGAUGAGCCCGCGUUGGAUUAGCUAGUUGGUGGGGUGAAGGCCUACCAAGGCGACGAUCCAUAGCUGGUCUGAGAGGAUGAUCAGCCACACUGGGACUGAGACACGGCCAAGACGACUACGGGGGGCAGCAGGGGGGAAUAUUGGACAAGGGGCGAAAGCCGGGUCCAGCCAUGCCACGUGAGUGAUGAAGUGCCUAGGGUUGUAAAGCACUUUCACGGGUGAAGAUAAUGACGGUAACCGGAGAAGAAGCCCCGGCUAACUUCGUGCCAGCCGCCGCCAUAAUAC